GACAGAGGUCCCAAGCGUUAGGCGGAAUCACUGGGCUUAAAGCGUGUGUAGGCGGACUUGUAGGUACCUUGUGAAAUCCCACGGCUCAACCGUGGAACUGCUGGGUAUACUGCGAGUCUUGAGCCACCUAGGGGCGAGCGGAACAAGUGGUGGAGCGGUGAAAUGCGUAGAUAUCACUUGGAACGCCAAUGGUGAAAACAGCUCGCUGGGGGGUGUGCUGACGCUGGAGACACGGAAAGCCCAGGGGAGCAAACGGG
rnacentral:rRNA from 1 species